rnacentral:rRNA from 1 species
AACACAGAAGUUAAGCUCUCUAGUGCCGAUGGUACUAGGACCGAAAGGUCCUGGGAGAGUAGGUCGUUGCCGGGU